rnacentral:rRNA from 1 species
CAAUAGCGUAUAUUAAAGUUGUUGCGGUAAAAAAGCUCGUAGUUGGAUUUCUGUUGAGAGCGACCGGUCCAUACCAUGUAUGCGUAUCUGGCUUGCUCUCGGCAUCCUCUCGAUAGACGUUACUGCGCUUGAUUGCGUGGUGCGGAUCUCGGGACUUUUACUUUGAGGAAAUUAGAGUGUUCACGGCAGGCUUUCGCCAGAAUACAUUAGCAUGGAAUAAUACUAUAGGAUCUUGGUUCUAUUUUGUUGGUUUCUAGAAUUGAGAUAAUGAUUAAUAGGGACAAUUGGGGGCAUUCGUAUCAACACGUCAGAGGUGGAAUUCUUGGAUUGUGUUGCGACGAACUACUGCGAAAGCGUUUGCCAAGGAUGUUUUCAUUGA